rnacentral:rRNA from 1 species
CGUCAAGUGUGCUGCGUGUUGAUGUUAACUGCCAUGAAGUUGCUUGGGUGUUCCCAUUUGUUUGGGUUGGUUUGGGUGGUGGAUUUGUGGGAACCAAGAUGUGUGGUGAAGCGUGUUAACG